rnacentral:rRNA from 1 species
AGCGAACGCUGGCGGCAGGCUUAACACAUGCAAGUCGAGCGGGCAUCUUCGGAUGUCAGCGGCAGACGGGUGAGUAACACGUGGGAGCGUACCCUUCGGUUCGGAACAACUCUGGGAAACUGGAGCUAAUACCGGAUACGCCCUUAUGGGGAAAGGUUUACUGCCGAAGGAUCGGCCCGCGUCUGAUUAGCUAGUUGGUGGGGUAACGGCCUACCAAGGCGACGAUCAGUAGCUGGUCUGAGAGGAUGAUCAGCCACACUGGGACUGAGACACGGCCCAGACUCCUACGGGAGGCAGCAGUGGGGAAUAUUGGACAAUGGGCGCAAGCCUGAUCCAGCCAUGCCGCGUGAGUGAUGAAGGCCUUAGGGUUGUAAAGCUCUUUUGUCCGGGACGAUAAUGACGGUACCGGAAGAAUAAGCCCCGGCUAACUUCGUG